AUUGAACGCUGGCGGCAGGCCUAACACAUGCAAGUCGAACGAGUGGCGGACGGGUGAGUAAUGUCUGGGGAACUGCCCGAUGGAGGGGGAUAACUACUGGAAACGGUAGCUAAUACCGCAUACCAUCAGAUGUGCCCAGAUGGGAUUAGCUAGUAGGUGGGGUAACGGCUCACCUAGGCGACGAUCCCUAGCUGGUCGUAGAGGAUGACCAGCAACACUGGAACUGAGACACGGUCCAGACUCCUACGGGAGGCAGCAGUGGGGAAGAUGGCACAAUGGGCGAAAGCCUGAUGCAGCAAUGCCGAGUGUAUGAAGAAGGCCUUCGGGUUGUAAAGUACUUUCAGCGAGGAGGCGUUACUCGCAGAAGAAGCACCGGCUAACUCCGUGCCAGCAGCCGCGGUAAUAC
rnacentral:rRNA from 1 species